rnacentral:misc_RNA from 1 species
GUAACAAGGUUUCCGUAGGUGAACCUGCGGAAGGAUCAUUACCGAGUGAGGGCCCUCUGGGUCCAACCUCCCACCCGUGUCUAUCGUACCUUGUUGCUUCGGCGGGCCCGCCGUUUCGACGGCCGCCGGGGAGGCCUUGCGCCCCCGGGCCCGCGCCCGCCGAAGACCCCAACAUGAACGCUGUUCUGAAAGUAUGCAGUCUGAGUUGAUUAUCGUAAUCAGUUAAAACUUUCAACAACGGAUCUCUUGGUUCCGGCAUCGAUGAAGAACGCAGCGAAAUGCGAUAAGUAAUGUGAAUUGCAGAAUUCAGUGAAUCAUCGAGUCUUUGAACGCACAUUGCGCCCCCUGGUAUUCCGGGGGGCAUGCCUGUCCGAGCGUCAUUGCUGCCCUCAAGCACGGCUUGUGUGUUGGGCCCCCGUCCCCCUCUCCCGGGGGACGGGCCCGAAAGGCAGCGGCGGCACCGCGUCCGGUCCUCGAGCGUAUGGGGCUUUGUCACCUGCUCUGUAGGCCCGGCCGGCGCCAGCCGACACCCAACUUUAUUUUUCUAAGGUUGACCUCGGAUCAGGUAGGGAUACCCGCUGAACUUAAGCAUAUC